ACUUUCGCAGCGAAAUUUGGUUUGAUUCAGUUUUACUGAAUUAAUUAAAAGGGAAUCUGGUUAAAAUCCAGAACUGUUCCCGCAACUGUAAGCUAUAAAGCUUCGUGUUAAACUUCAAUGUCACUGAAGAAUAUUCUUUGGGAAGACCAACACGAAGACGCAAGUCAGGAGACCUGCCAUUUUCAAAACAAAUAA
rnacentral:ncRNA from 1 species